rnacentral:rRNA from 2 species
CCUGAUCCAGCCAUGCCGCGUGAGUGAUGAAGGCCCUAGGGUCGUAAAGCUCUUUCGCCUGUGAAGAUAAUGACGGUAGCAGGUAAAGAAACCCCGGCUAACUCCGUGCCAGCAGCCGCGGUAAUACGGAGGGGGUUAGCGUUGUUCGGAAUUACUGGGCGUAAAGCGCACGUAGGCGGACUGGAAAGUUGGGGGUGAAAUCCCGGGGCUCAACCCCGGAACUGCCUCCAAAACUAUCAGUCUAGAGUUCGAGAGAGGUGAGUGGAAUUCCGAGUGUAGAGGUGAAAUUCGUAGAUAUUCGGAGGAACACCAGUGGCGAAGGCGGCUCACUGGCUCGAUACUGACGCUGAGGUGCGAAAGUGUGGGGAGCAAACAGGAUUAGAUACCCUGGUAGUCCACACCGUAAACGAUGAAUGCCAGUCGUCGGGUAGCAUGCUAUUCGGUGACACACCUAACGGAUUAAGCAUUCCGCCUGGG